rnacentral:piRNA from 1 species
UGUUUACGUGGUGAUGCUAAAACUUGGU